rnacentral:rRNA from 1 species
AACCACCGCCAGGGAAUUACGAGCCCAAUCUUAAAACCCAAAGGACUUGACGGKGUCCCACCCACCUAGAGGAGCCUGUUYUAUAAUCGACACUCCCCGAUACACCUCACCACUUCUAGCACAUCUCAGUCUGUAUACCUCCGUCGUAAGCUUACCCUGUGAACGCAACAGUAAGCCAAAAGAUCUUAUAUCAAUACGUCAGGUCAAGGKGCAACUAACGAAGCGGAAAGCAAUGGGCUACAAUCUCUACAAAUAGAACACACGAAAAACUGCAUGAAACACAGUCAUGAAGGCGGAUUUAGUAGUAAAAAGAAAAUAGAGAGUUCUUUUUAAUAAGGCGCUGGGACGCGU